ensembl:lincRNA
GAGCGAACGCAGCUGCCCGGCGCCGUCGGUCCCUCCGGUUCUGCAGAAGUCUCCAAGCCUCUGCCUGGAGACCGGGAGGCGCCCGGCCCUCGCCUCCGGGAAGCCCCGCUGCUCCCGGAUUUCUGCUACCCUGAAAACGGGAAGCCCCGCCGCGGCCCGCAUCGCCUCGGAGUCGCCCCGGUCGCUUAACCGCUCGUCUGAACAAAAUAACCCCCAUCGAGUGUCUGCUGUUACAGCAGGACCUCCCCUCUCCUAGGCUUGCGAGGACGUUCUGUAAGGGGCUGCAGCCACCUGCAAGGUUCAUCUCCUUCCCUGGGCCACUGCUUCCCUCUCGACUGCUGGCACUGUCCGGGCUGCCUUUGCUUUAUCAUCCCUGCCCUCAGUGUUCCUGGGAAUCCUCCUCUUGGAUGUCACCGACCCCCCCACGGAGGGAGAGGACAGCGUUCCCGCGGCUUGCACAACACGUGACACGUUCCUCACGGUGACUCUCAGGAUUCUUUCCCCGGGAGCCUGCAGUGCGGAUGCUGAUGAGCUCCUCCUGCAGAAGAUGAAACCGAGUUAUGACACGUCAGUCAGCAGCGGUUCUCAGAGUGUGGGCACCACGGCAGCGGCACCCACAGCACCUGAGACCUUGAUGGAAAAGCUCAUCCCCAGGCCCUGAGGGGACCCGGGAAUUGCACAAGCCUCGCUGGUGAUCCUGGGGCUCAGGUCCCAGAGCCGCUUCCCAGGCCCGUGAUCCUUUACAGGGUCUGCACCACAAUCUGCCUGCCCCCACCAAUGGGCUCCCAACCUCAGUAGUGAGCAUCAGGAUUCAGCUAUUUUACAAAUCCUAGGUGGAUCCAGGUGCAGCUCCUUCUUUCUUUGUCCCCCGGGAAAUCCCCUAACUGCCCUAUGAAAUCUUGAAGCACUGUGAGUUCCUGUGCUCUCUGAUGGUCCUACAGAAGGCAUGCAUGCAAGUAUCAGUCUCUGUGUAGAAAGUCACAGCCAAUCCACAGAUGCCGCCUGCCUGUUAGCUACCUAGUUAUGUGCAAAUGUGUGUGCGCCUCGCAGAUGGCUGCUUAUCCAGCAGGCUGGGCCAUAGUUGCCGGAUCCCGCUCACCCGGGUUUUGGACACGUCCACCUCAUGCUUAAUGUGGCCACUUUGGAUUCGCUCUUUCCUUGACAAAAUUAAAUCCUAACCAUAGAAAAGCAUGUAGGGGCAACCAUACAUUUCUGUUUUGUUUCUCUAAAAAGUAAAAAGUUACUUCAGUACAAGGAAGGAUCCUAGAUCCAGUCAUUCAGGUCGCUUGAAUUAUAUCAGAAAGAGAAGAUGUUGCUGUUUCUGAAUUGAAUUUCUCCAAGUCCAAGACUACUAUUUUUUUUCCUCAGAUGGGCGGAUGGCUUACUCCUGAGAUAUACCAGUGGAGUCUAACACAUUUGCUUAUGUAUAUUGCUACAUACAUGUUUGUGACACCCACUGGAUAGGUAGACGGUAGGGAGGUGACACUUACAUGUAUCGGAUCUUAGUCCUUUCUGCCUCGCCUUCCCUCCCUCCAUCCCUGACUUCUCUUCCCAUCUGCACAAAGCCUAACUCCCUGUUUCCUACCAUGUACCUCUUUGCUCAUAAAAUGACUUAAACUUGGGGAAGGGAGAAGAAGGUAAAAAGUAAGCUCUUAAAGCAGGCUGAUGCACACUUUCUCCUCUCCCCGGAGGGUUUCCAUCACAGCCCCUCCGAGGUCAGUUACGGUUCCCUUGUUACCAUGAGUAAACUGAGGCUUUUAGGUCACAGGGACAACGUGCAGGUUUGGAGGCACAGGUUUGGAGCCCCUUUCCUGCAUUUCUGGGGUCUUGCGUCCACAGAGAUCGGGCUCGUGAUGGACAGCUUCCUGCACAGGGAAGUAAGGGCUAAGCCAGCCAGAGCAGCACAGCUUUCAAUUGCACGGAGAUGACACUGCCAGUUCCUUUCGCAGUAUACAAAUAGCACCCUCAAGAAGCAAACACAGGGCCCACACAGCUAAUGUGCAACCACGGAGCAGCUCAUUCGUCUGGAAAGACCUGGCGCUGAGUGUUACUAUGAAUAACUUCAUCGUGGUAGCAGAAUCGCGUCUGUCACCACCCUGAUGAGGAGGUCCCCGGAGUCAGCAGUGAACAGAGGCUUUUGCAAUUUGUGGAGAUGGCAGCAAAGGCGUUGAAGUCCCAGGAAAAGGUCAGUUUUUCAAAUUCCUUCUCACCGAUAUCUCUCUCUCCCUCCUCCCAUUAUCAGUUCCCAGAGAAAAUUAUUGGUAUUAUUUUGUGACCAACUUUAAAAAAAUAGUGGUAGAAACUUUGGAAAAGCAGGACAGUACAAAAUCACUUUGUGUUUUUCCUUAGGGGGGGCA